rnacentral:sRNA from 1 species
CGCAAUUUUUAAAUGAAUGUUUCUUACAAAAUAAUAUUAAUGUACCCAUUGUGUGUUAUUGCAAAUAUUUGCAAACGGAGCCGUGCGCCAGGCGCACUUCGAAUUCCAAGCACCGUUCUAAGUCUAAGUGAACCAAGCAACAAUAAUAAGUAAAUUUGUAUUCAUAUCAACAUUUUAUGCUCAGAGCUGGUCGGGCAGAAGCAAAGCGACAAGGAUAGACAAACGCAAUAAAGAAAUACGGUUACUUCUAUACAGUGGCGGCAAAUUCCAA